AGAGUCGGAUAAAUGAUCGCUUCCCUUAGUUACCGAAAGGUCUGGGAAGAGGAAAGUCCGGGCUUCACAGGGCAGGGUGCCGGAUAACGUCCGGUGGAGGUGACUCCAAAGAUAGUGCAACAGAGAUAUACCGCUGGCUUAUGCCAGUAAGGGUGGAAAGGCGGGGUAAGAGCCCACCGAUUCUCUGGUAACAGAGAAUGCCAUGUAAACCUCACCCGAAGCAAGACCGAAUGUAAAACGAUAAUCUGGCCCGGAUUGUUUUCAGGUGGGUCGCUAGAAGCUGCUGGCAACAGCAGAAUUAGACAGAUGAUCAUUCACGACAUAACCCGGCUUAUCGUCCGGCUCUUUUU
rfam:Eubacterium hallii CAG:12 genomic scaffold, scf28